rnacentral:rRNA from 1 species
UCGGCUAGCGGGAUCGCCACUCCACUCGAAGUCCAGCAUUGAGUAUGGUUAUCACUGGAUUUGGCCCAGAGAGGGUGAGAGGCCCGUACGAGUGGAGGUUCAGACAUGUGGGGCGGUUCACCAGGCCGACCUCAGAGUCGGGUUGUUUGAGAUUGCAGCCCAAAGUGGGUGGUAGACUCCAUCCAAGGCUAAAUACUGGCACGAGUCCGAUAGCGAACAAGUACCGUGAGGGAAAGUUGAAAAGUACUCUGAAGAGAGAGUAAACAGUACGUGAAACCGCAUGCAGGUAAACGGGUGGCGUCAAGCUGCGAGCUCGGAGAAUUCAGCUGACCAGAGUGUAGUGUGCGCGUCUGUGGCGUCGAGGGGCCGGAGUAAGAUGUGGUGGUCCACCUCUUUUGUAGGGGUGGGGCGUGGCUGCGAUUUCGGUUGCGGCUGUCGCUACGCGUGCCGAGUUGUGUGUCGGAGCGUGCUGCUCAUCUGUGGGGCCGUCUGGUGAGUGCACUUUCUCCGUGGUGAACACCACGACCGGUGGUAUUGCCAGUCCACCAUGGUCAAGUCGUGUUUCUCUGAUGGCUUUGUUGUCCUGUCCAUCCAUCCGUCCAUCCGUCCAUCCGUCCAUCCUCCUUCUGGGGUGUGGACGGUGAUGGUGGUGGUGAUGGUGAUGGUGAUGGCGAGGGCUGUUUGGGGGACGCGAUCGCGGAUGGGAGGGGUGCACGGCGUAGCGGUGCCUCGGUGCUGUUGCGUGUUAUCGUGCAUUCACCGUCAACGGGGUGUGGGAGUGUAGGCGUCUCGUCUCUAGGCGUUGGGCUGUGAUCGCGCUCCCUGUGCAUCUCGGCGGGCCAUGGUGGUGAAAGUAACUGUGCAGGGCACCGUGUUUAGCCGCCUCAGCUGAUUGGCUGAUGGGUUUUUCCGUCCCGUUGGUCGAUGGGUCAAGGGUAUCUAGCACGCACGUCACAGGUGCAAUGAGGAUGCUCGCGCGUCUGUCCGUGCUCGUUGGGCUGGGCUGGCGUGUUGCUCGCGCAAAGUGGGCUCGCUAGCGGUCUGGCGUGUCCGUUGCCAUUACCGCCGCUACUACUGCGGCAUUGCGGUGUGACGAUGCAGUGUGGCAAUGCAGUGGAUGGAUUUGCGCGUGGCAUUGUGUGCUAAAGCAUUUGCUUUGGAUACCGGGGGCGAGAUAGUCAGUGGUGCUGUGGUAGACGAGCUACCCGACCCGUCUUGAAACACGGACCAAGGAGUUUAACAUGUGUGCGAGUCCGAGGGUCUUACGAAACCCCAAGGCGCAGUGAAAGUGAAGUUAGUCCGUGUUUGCGUACCUGAGCACACCUGCGCGGUGCGCCACGGCGAGGUGAGAUCCUGCUGUUGACCUACUCACCGUCAGUGUAGCCUGGCUAAUUAGGAGCAGUAGGCGCAUCACCGGCCCGUCCCACGAUGUGAACAUUGGCAAUGGCGUGGUAGUGUGCGCGUGAGCGUGGACUCGCUGCGUCGGUCAGUGUGCCAUUGGGGCGGAGCAUGAGCACACAUGUUGAGACCCGAAAGAUGGUGAACUAUGCUUGCGUAGGUUGAAGCCAGAGGAAACU